AUUGAACGCUGGCGGCAUGCUUUACACAUGCAAGUCGAACGGUAACAGGCCUUCGGGUGCUGACGAGUGGCGAACGGGUGAGUAAUGCAUCGGAACGUGCCCAGAGGUGGGGGAUAACGCAGCGAAAGCUGUGCUAAUACCGCAUGUGAUCUGAGGAUGAAAGCGGGGGACCAGGCAGCAAUGUUUGGCCUCGCGCCUUUGGAGCGGCCGAUGUCAGAUUAGGUAGUUGGUGGGGUAAAGGCCUACCAAGCCGACGAUCUGUAGCUGGUCUGAGAGGACGACCAGCCACACUGGGACUUAGACACGGCCCAGACUCCUACGGGAGGCAGCAGUGGGGAAUUUUGGACAAUGGGCGCAAGCCUGAUCCAGCAAUGCCGCGUGCGGGAAGAAGGACUUCGGGUUGUAAACCGCUUUUGUACGGAACGAAAAGGCUCUGGCUAAUACCUGGGGCUGAUGACGGUACCGUAAGAAUAAGCACCGGCUAACUACGUG
rnacentral:rRNA from 1 species